AAAAUACAACAUACAUAGAUCCAGCUAUUUAGUCAUAAAGACCUCCUUGAUGUCUCAAGUCCAAAUUGUUCAAGUUUGAAAGUGGAAGAAGAGUGGCCUGGUGGGCCAGAGUAGGAAAAAUCCACAUUUCAGCCAGAUCUUGAACUCAUAAUGUAGCAACAGCACAACCUUCCAUCUACAACCUUCUCUCAAUGUUUCCUCACCUUUUUGCUGUAACUGCAAUCUGGCUGUUCGCUGAGGAUCCUGCUUCUCCAGCGCUGGCUGUUUCAUUCCCCGUGAGUUUAGAAGUGGGUAGGUGGCCUCCUUGCACCUCCUUUUGCUUCCUGACCAGUUUUCUAGCUCAACACUACUCCGUGAUCUACCAAUAUAAUCAUUCUGGCCUAAUACUUAGCAAACUCAUCAUGGUUAUAGACAACACUGCUUAAUCUCUGUGUAGACAGAGAAAAGCAUACAAUGUGCCGAUAGUCUCUUUAAAUUUACUACCAAAAGCUUUAACUGGUCUGUUAAAAAUCCUACUGUAUUUUCCUGCUCCAGUGUUUUGCACCAGAAUCUGCAUCAAAAUAACCUGAAGGAUAUGUUAAAACAGAUUUCUGAGUUUCAUUCCAAGGAUUUCUGAUGCAGCGGGUCUAGAGUGGGGCCGCAUAUUUUGCAUUUAUAAGAAGUUUCCAGGUGAUUCUGACGCCGUAGGUCUGGGGACUUCACUGGAAGUUCCCAGGCCCUAGCGAAUUCAUUACCUUAUUCUUCGAGAUAAUAAUUUCAUAACUUUUGUACUUUUCUCAAUCUUUCAACACUCCCUUUUCUUUUCUCAGUCUCAGCUGAUGUUUUGCUUAUUCCAAUCAGAAAACAAAAGGGAUCGGAAGUGACUUCCACCUGCAUCCACCAUUAAAUCAACCAACUAACUUGCAUCUAUACCCGCACACUCUGUGCUCCAUCUUGUUAUAAUGAAUAAAAUGUCCAUGCUCCUAAAUCAAGCUGUCUACUUGGGCACUUGAUCCUAACCCCUGUAAUAUAUCUAUUCAACAACUUACUCUUGUGAUUAUUUUCUCUUUCUUCUUCAUCAUUUUUUCCUCCUCAUUGGAUUAUUCCCAUCAAAAUAAAUACAUGAUGUAAUAUUCUCAGCUUAAGAAAAAAACAAACGAAAAUGCUUUU
rnacentral:lncRNA from 1 species